UACGUAGGGUGCAGGCGUUAAUCGGAAUUACUGGGCGUAAAGCGUGCGCAGGCGGCUUCUCAAGUCAGAUGUGAAAUCCCCGGGCUUAACCUGGGAACUGCGUUUGAAACUGGGAGGCUAGAGUGCGGCAGAGGAGACUGGAAUUCCUGGUGUAGCAGUGAAAUGCGUAGAUAUCAGGAGGAACACCGAUGGCGAAGGCAGGUCUCUGGGCUGAUACUGACGCUCAUGCACGAAAGCGUGGGGAGCAAACAGG
rnacentral:rRNA from 1 species